CCCGCGCACCUCGCUCCCCCCUCCCGGCCGGCGCUCGCAGUGGCGCGCCUGCUCGCUCUCCCGCUACCCGACGAGUCCUCAACAAGUUGGAGGAAGGCAGGAACGCAGGGGUUAAGCUCGGAAAGCCGCAAUUACCAAGAUCGUGACCCUCCCACACAGUACAGUAACUUAUAUACUUACCUGGAAGAGCCCGCUUUGCCGCCGGGCAAACACCCGUGGGGGGCGGGGAGGGGCCGGAGGGAGCGGGCCGGCAGGAGAGGGGCUGCUUCCAGCUGGCUGCAGUGCGGACGGGACCGGCGCGCUCCCGUGGCCCCCAGACCGAGGUGGUUCAAACCUGUCCUGACACCCAGAGGUCUGCAUGAGGGG
rnacentral:lncRNA from 1 species